UACGGAGGGUGCAAGCGUUGUCCGGAUUUAUUGGGUUUAAAGGGUGCGUAGGCGGCCCGUUAAGUCAGUGGUGAAAGCCUCCAGCUCAACUGGAGAACUGCCAUUGAUACUGGCGGGCUUGAGUACAGACGAGGUUGGCGGAAUUGAUAGUGUAGCGGUGAAAUGCAUAGAUACUAUCAAGAACUCCGAUUGCGUAGGCAGCUAACUAGGCUGUAACUGACGCUGAGGCACGAAAGCGUGGGGAGCGAACAGG
rnacentral:rRNA from 1 species